UACGGAGGGUGCGAGCGUUAAUCGGAAUUACUGGGCGUAAAGCGCGCGUAGGCGGCUUUGUAAGUCGGAUGUGAAAGCCCUGGGCUUAACCUGGGAAUUGCAUUCGAUACUGCAUGGCUAGAGUAUGGUAGAGGAUAGUGGAAUUCCUGGUGUAGCGGUGAAAUGCGUAGAUAUCAGGAGGAACAUCAGUGGCGAAGGCGGCUAUCUGGACCAAUACUGACGCUGAGGUGCGAAAGCGUGGGGAGCAAACAGG
rnacentral:rRNA from 1 species